CCUACGGGAGGCAGCAGUGGUGAAUAUUGCACAAUGGGGGAAACCCUGAUGCAGCGACGCCGCGUGAGUGAGGAAUUAUUUCUGUAUGUAAAGCUUUAUCAGCAGGGAAGAAACUGACGGUACCUGUCUAAGAAGUCACGGCUAAAUACGUGCCAGCAGCCGCGGUAAUCCGUAGGGCGCAAGCGUUAUCCGGAUUUACUGGGUGGAAAGGGAGCGUAGACGGUUAAUCAAGUCAGAAGUGAAAACCCAGGGCUCAACCUUUGGACUGCUUUUGAAAAUGGGGAGCUAGAGUGCAGGAGAGGUAAGCGGAAUUCCUAGUGUAGCGGUGAAAUGCGUAGAUAUCAGGAGGAACACCAGUGGCGAAGGCAGCUUACUGGACUGUAACUGACGUUGAGGCACGAAAGCGUGGGGAGCGAACAGGAUUAGAUACCCCUGUAGUC
rnacentral:rRNA from 1 species